GAUGAACGCUGGCGGCGUGCCUAAUACAUGCAAGUCGAGCGAACGGACGAGAAGCUUGCUUCUCUGAUGUUAGCGGCGGACGGGUGAGUAACACGUGGAUAACCUACCUAUAAGACUGGGAUAACUUCGGGAAACCGGAGCUAAUACCGGAUAAUAUUUUGAACCGCAUGGUUCAAAAGUGAAAGACGGUCUUGCUGUCACUUAUAGAUGGAUCCGCGCUGCAUUAGCUAGUUGGUAAGGUAACGGCUUACCAAGGCAACGAUGCAUAGCCGACCUGAGAGGGUGAUCGGCCACACUAGAACUAAGACACGGUCCAGACUCCUGCGGGAGGCAGCAGUAGGGAAUCUUCCGCAAUGGGCGAAAGCCUGACGGAGCAACGCCGCGUGAAUGAUGAAGGUCUUCGGAUCGUAAAACUCUGUUAUUAGGGAAGAACAUAUGUGUAAGUAACUGUGCACAUCUUGACGGUACCUAAUCAGAAAGCCACGGCUAACUACGUG
rnacentral:rRNA from 1 species